rnacentral:lncRNA from 1 species
AUGUUUCCUCCAUUCGAUGCAGGCAGGACCAGAGCAAGCGUGCUAUGCGCCUGGGCCACAGCUGAGCUGAGAAGCUUGGAGGCUGAAGGCCUGGUUGGUUCACUUCAGCCUCAAGCAAUACAAGCAGGGAGAUGA